rnacentral:rRNA from 1 species
CCCUUAGAUGUUCUGGGCCGCACGCGCGCUACACUGACGAUGGCAACGAGUUUUUCCUUCGCCGAAAGGUGUGGGUAAUCUUUUGAAACAUCGUCGUGCUGGGGAUAGAUCAUUGCAAUUUUUGAUCUUGAACGAGGAAUUCCUAGUAAGCGCGAGUCAUCAGCUCGCGUUGAUUACGUCCCUGCCCUUUGUACACACCGCCCGUCGCUACUACCGAUUGAAUGGUUUAGUGAGGACUCCUGAUUGGCGCCGCCGCCCCGGCAACGGAGCAGCGGACUGCCGAAAAGUUGUUCAAACUUGAUCAUUUAGAGGAAGUAAAAGUUGUAACA